rnacentral:tRNA from 1 species
UCGGAUAUGGUGUAACGGUUAGCAUAUCCGCCUUUCACGCGGUAGAUCGGGGUUCGAUUCCCCGUAUCCGAG